rnacentral:tRNA from 1 species
GUGGGUAUGGCUCAGUGGUAGAGCACGUGCUUAGCAUACAGGAGGUCCUGGAUUCAAUCCCUAGUACCUCCA